GAGCUUGUAUGUGUGGCUAAAUGUAAAAAUGCAGAUUUUAUCUUCUCUGCAGAACAACCACAAUGAGAUAAAGAUGAGGAAGGGAAUGUAAGACUUCACUACUAUUUUAAAUAGCUAUUGUUACAGAACUGGAGAAUGUCUGGAAUUGGGCCAUUUGUUUUCUCUGCAGUGAACAAAGGUAGUGUGAUCUAGCAACUGCAAGAUAGGAUAAUUAACAUAAUGAAACGUGGUGUUCUGAUGCUAAGAUCACCUAAAAUUGACAAAGGUGGUGUUGGUAGCGGAAAAGUUACAUGCAUAAGUUCCUCAUUACCAAUGUUCUGUGUUAUUGGUAUGUCUAAAACUUACACCUGCUUUCCAUAAGAAAACAAAAUAGGAAAAAUAUUAAAUUGCUGUGUAAUAUUUCAAGUCUAAGAAAUAUUUUUAAACUGUCCUAGGUGUCUGUGGAAGGAAGAGAUGAUUGAAGCUGCAAUACAGGAGACUGUUUUCCCUUAGAAACUGAGCUGGGAGGAGAAAUUCAAUACUCAGGAAUCUUCUGAAUACUGAAGUGCCCUUCCCUGGCUCAGCGCCCGGUGCCAACAGAACACCUUGCAGGAUCCUCAGCAACGCAGACAACUGCUUGGCCUCUGGUUUCCUACCUGCUACAUUUGAAGGAUUCCCUGUAGCCCUCUCCUUGAGACUUACCCAGGCCUUUCUCUGCAAUUCUUGCCUUCUGUACCCUGAGGGAGAUACCACGAGGUCCUCGGUAUUGCCAGGUAUGCUCCAAUUGUUCCUACAGCAAACCAUGAAUGCAUUGGCACUAACUUAAAAAGCCACAGCCCUCACCUUUGUUUUUUUUCUGUGUAUUCGUGGUCUCCAGUGAUCAUAAAUCAGCCUGACUUUACAGGCCUUCCCAUGAACUGCAGGGAUGAUAUAGCCAUGUGUAUCAAAUCUUCCACUUUCCUCAUAUUUAUGUUUCAAAUGCUUCCUUGGAGAAGAGCUGAAGAAUUUGUUUCCUCGGGAAAUCUCAAGAUCAAUUGAUAACAAAUUUCUUGAAGGUUUUCCAGUGAAGUUCCUGCUUGUUAUUCAGUUUCUCAGCACAAGGUCACAGAAUGACUUGCCUGCAGCCACACAGUCGGUCAGCAGAGCAGACAAGUUCGCAGCUGCUUCAGUGGAGAUACAUUGUGUGCAUCGGGACUGUUUCAUGGCAUUGGUACAGAUAUAAAAAGCAGCUGGUUUAUGGAGGCCUUUUUUGUUGAUGUUCUUAAUGAAGACAUUUAGCAACUGAGUUGGUUUUUGUCAGAGAUCUUCCAACAGAAAUCAUUCUGGAUUGGAACAUGGUAGCAACAUGACCAUAACUACCAGGACCUUGGCAUGAGCAGUUAUUUUCUUAAGGUCUUUGCUUGUGGUGAAGGGAAAAUGAGACAGCAUUCCAGUGUUAAAUGUAAAGCUUUCAUAAACCCAAAUUUCCUGAGUUCUGUACCCAAACUAGACUGAUGUGUGACGUCCAUCUCACCCUGCCAAAGUUAUGCAUUUCUUUCUGAUUUGUAUCAGUUUGUUGCUGACAGUUUUUUCCAAACCUUUAUCUGAGAGAUGAAAUAAAUACCAGGGUGUUGUUUUUUUUUUUUGCUGG
rnacentral:lncRNA from 1 species